UUGGCUGCAACUUCCAUUUCAUUUGCAGACCUGAGCAGAAUGCUGCUUUGUCUAUAAUUAAAAGAAACAUCCCAUUGAAAAGAUUCAGUUACCUACUGUCAACCAAAGUCAGAAAAUAGUUGGAGAAAUCUGGAGAAGUCUGGCUGGGAAGGGAAGAAGAAGCAGGAAAUCAGGGCUAAGCCAAGACGUACAGCUGGAGCAGGAGUCAGAACGGGCUGGCAGAGAGCGCUGAGCUCCCAGCAGGGGAAGAAACCAAAGAACAUGGAGGCUCCUGCGACGAGAGGCCUGUAGGUUUUGGGCGCCCACCCUGCUACUGUAGAAUGGUUCUUGGCAAUAGAUUUCUCAAUUUCCUUCUCCAGUUUAAUUUUUUAAUAACUGAGUACAGUUAAAAAUAGAGUAAGAUCACAGUCUCCCAAGCACAGUUCCUUUUUUAUUUGUGGUCCCCAAGAGGAGUCAAAAGUAAGAGCAGGGACUGGGGGGUACCCUGUGUGUCCUGGCAUCAUUUCACGGAAGGUAAGGCCAUGUCACCACAUCCCCAGUACAGGGCUGGCCCGGCAUGGUAUCCGCAGGAAACAGUGAUCGAGCCCUCCUUCCUCCUACGUCCCCACCGCAUCCUGGGCAACAUUUUCUCUCUUAACUAUAACCGCUGAGUAUUUGUAUUUUUCAGGGAACCUCAGGAGACGUAAAGCCUUUAAGGUUUAAAGGACUGAAUCUCUUCCGGUGCAAUUUCUGGAAUUAUAAGUAUUUUUUUUUCCUUUCUUCAUUCAUUCAUUCAAUACGUAUGUUUUGAAUUCCGGGCAUAGCGCUAGCCAUGGAGACCAUAGUGGUGGGCAACGCAGACACGACCCUGUCGUCACAAAACUUCAAGUUUAAAGAAGACAGACUAAUAAAAUAAUCACAGAAACGAAUAUGUGCUGCGAAGCAGUAGGAAGUGCCCCGCAGUCUGAUUCCCCUAGCAGAGAG